GAUUGGUGCUUGCAUCAUGAUUUACAUUUGAGUGAGUGGCGAACUGGUGAGUAACACGUGGGAAACCUGCCCAGAAGCGGGGGAUAACACCUGGAAACAGAUGCUAAUACCGCAUAACAACUUGGACCGCAUGGUCCGAGCUUGAAAGAUGGCUUCGGCUAUCACUUUUGGAUGGUCCCGCGGCGUAUUAGCUAGAUGGUGGGGUAACGGCUCACCAUGGCAAUGAUACGUAGCCGACCUGAGAGGGUAAUCGGCCACAUUGGGACUGAGACACGGCCCAAACUCCUACGGGAGGCAGCAGUAGGGAAUCUUCCACAAUGGACGAAAGUCUGAUGGAGCAACGCCGCGUGAGUGAAGAAGGGUUUCGGCUCGUAAAACUCUGUUGUUAAAGAAGAACAUAUCUGAGAGUAACUGUUCAGGUAUUGACGGUAUUUAACCAGAAAGCCACGGCUAACUACGUGCCAGCAGCCGCGGUAAUACGUAGGUGGCAAGCGUUGUCCGGAUUUAUUGGGCGUAAAGCGAGCGCAGGCGGUUUUUUAAGUCUGAUGUGAAAGCCUUCGGCUCAACCGAAGAAGUGCAUCGGAAACUGGGAAACUUGAGUGCAGAAGAGGACAGUGGAACUCCAUGUGUAGCGGUGAAAUGCGUAGAUAUAUGGAAGAACACCAGUGGCGAAGGCGGCUGUCUGGUCUGUAACUGACGCUGAGGCUCGAAAGUAUGGGUAGCAAACAGGAUUAGAUACCCUGGUAGUCCAUACCGUAAACGAUGAAUGCUAAGUGUUGGAGGGUUUCCGCCCUUCAGUGCUGCAGCUAACGCAUUAAGCAUUCCGCCUGGGGAGUACGGCCGCAAGGCUGAAACUCAAAGGAAUUGACGGGGGCCCGCACAAGCGGUGGAGCAUGUGGUUUAAUUCGAAGCUACGCGAAGAACCUUACCAGGUCUUGACAUACUAUGCAAAUCUAAGAGAUUAGACGUUCCCUUCGGGGACAUGGAUACAGGUGGUGCAUGGUUGUCGUCAGCUCGUGUCGUGAGAUGUUGGGUUAAGUCCCGCAACGAGCGCAACCCUUAUUAUCAGUUGCCAGCAUUAAGUUGGGCACUCUGGUGAGACUGCCGGUGACAAACCGGAGGAAGGUGGGGAUGACGUCAAAUCAUCAUGCCCCUUAUGACCUGGGCUACACACGUGCUACAAUGGAUGGUACAACGAGUUGCGAACUCGCGAGAGUAAGCUAAUCUCUUAAAGCCAUUCUCAGUUCGGAUUGUAGGCUGCAACUCGCCUACAUGAAGUCGGAAUCGCUAGUAAUCGCGGAUCAGCAUGCCGCGGUGAAUACGUUCCCGGGCCUUGUACACACCGCCCGUCACACCAUGAGAGUUUGUAACACCCA
rnacentral:rRNA from 2 species